UACGAAGGGGGCUAGCGUUGCUCGGAUUCAUUGGGCGUAAAGGGUGCGUAGGUGGCGCCGUAAGUCGGGUGUGAAAUUUCGGAGCUUAACUUCGAAACUGCAUUCGAUACUGCGGUGCUUGAGGACUGGAGAGGAGACUGGAAUUCAUGGUGUAGCAGUGAAAUGCGUAGAGAUCAUGAGGAAGACCAGUGGCGAAGGCGGGUCUCUGGACAGUUCCUGACACUGAGGCACGAAGGCCAGGGGAGCAAACGGG
rnacentral:rRNA from 1 species